rnacentral:rRNA from 1 species
UGGGGAAUAUUGCACAAUGGAGGGAACUCUGAUGCAGCGACGCCGCGUGAACGAAGAAGGCUUUCGAGUCGUAAAGUUCUUUUAUAUGGGAAGAUAAUGACGGUACCAUAAGAAGAAGCCCCGGCUAACUACGUGCCAGCAGCCGCGGUAAUACGUAGGGGGGUAGCGUUGUCCGGAAUCACUGGGCGUAAAGGGUUCGCAGGCGGAAAUGCAAGUCAGGUGUAAAAGGCAGUAGCUUAACUACUGUAAGCAUUUGAAACUGCAUAUCUUGAGAAGAGUAGAGGUAAGUGGAAUUUUUAGUGUAGCGGUGAAAUGCGUAGAUAUUAAAAAGAAUACCGGUGGCGAAGGCGACUUACUGGGCUCAUUCUGACGCUGAGGAACGAAAGCGUGGGUAGCAAACAGG